AUACAUGCAAGUCGAACGAACUCUGGUAUUGAUUGGUGCUUGCAUCAUGAUUUACAUUUGAGUGAGUGGCGAACUGGUGAGUAACACGUGGGAAACCUGCCCAGAAGCGGGGGAUAACACCUGGAAACAGAUGCUAAUACCGCAUAACAACUUGGACCGCAUGGUCCGAGUUUGAAAGAUGGCUUCGGCUAUCACUUUUGGAUGGUCCCGCGGCGUAUUAGCUAGAUGGUGGGGUAACGGCUCACCAUGGCAAUGAUACGUAGCCGACCUGAGAGGGUAAUCGGCCACAUUGGGACUGAGACACGGCCCAAACUCCUACGGGAGGCAGCAGUAGGGAAUCUUCCACAAUGGACGAAAGUCUGAUGGAGCAACGCCGCGUGAGUGAAGAAGGGUUUCGGCUCGUAAAACUCUGUUGUUAAAGAAGAACAUAUCUGAGAGUAACUGUUCAGGUAUUGACGGUAUUUAACCAGAAAGCCACGGCUAACUACGUGCCAGCAGCCGCGGUAAUACGUAGGUGGCAAGCGUUGUCCGGAUUUAUUGGGCGUAAAGCGAGCGCAGGCGGUUUUUUAAGUCUGAUGUGAAAGCCUUCGGCUCAACCGAAGAAGUGCAUCGGAAACUGGGAAACUUGAGUGCAGAAGAGGACAGUGGAACUCCAUGUGUAGCGGUGAAAUGCGUAGAUAUAUGGAAGAACACCAGUGGCGAAGGCGGCUGUCUGGUCUGUAACUGACGCUGAGGCUCGAAAGUAUGGGUAGCAAACAGGAUUAGAUACCCUGGUAGUCCAUACCGUAAACGAUGAAUGCUAAGUGUUGGAGGGUUUCCGCCCUUCAGUGCUGCAGCUAACGCAUUAAGCAUUCCGCCUGGGGAGUACGGCCGCAAGGCUGAAACUCAAAGGAAUUGACGGGGGCCCGCACAAGCGGUGGAGCAUGUGGUUUAAUUCGAAGCUACGCGAAGAACCUUACCAGGUCUUGACAUACUAUGCAAAUCUAAGAGAUUAGACGUUCCCUUCGGGGACAUGGAUACAGGUGGUGCAUGGUUGUCGUCAGCUCGUGUCGUGAGAUGUUGGGUUAAGUCCCGCAACGAGCGCAACCCUUAUUAUCAGUUGCCAGCAUUAAGUUGGGCACUCUGGUGAGACUGCCGGUGACAAACCGGAGGAAGGUGGGGAUGACGUCAAAUCAUCAUGCCCCUUAUGACCUGGGCUACACACGUGCUACAAUGGAUGGUACAACGAGUUGCGAACUCGCGAGAGUAAGCUAAUCUCUUAAAGCCAUUCUCAGUUCGGAUUGUAGGCUGCAACUCGCCUACAUGAAGUCGGAAUCGCUAGUAAUCGCGGAUCAGCAUGCCGCGGUGAAUACGUUCCCGGGCCUUGUACACACCGCCCGUCACACCAUGAGAGUUUGUAACACCCAAAGUCGGUGGGGUAACCUUUUAGGAACCAGCCGCCUAAGGUGGGACAGAUGAUUAGGGUGAAGUCGUAACAAG
rnacentral:rRNA from 2 species